AGUGUUUACAAGAGGAGUUGCUUUAAGAAUUACCCAAAAAGUAGUUCUAGGCAUUUGAUUAGACGAUACAGAAAUGAAUUUUGACUUUGGUAAGAAAGUGUCCCUUCAGUAGAACUAGGUGAUAAGGAUCAUCAAGUUGGAGAUAAGGGGUCUGGAGCUCUGAAGCAUGGACUCUGACAUGACAUUGAUACAGACAUGUUGAUACUGCUGAUGGAAAAAUCAUUGG
rnacentral:lncRNA from 1 species